rnacentral:rRNA from 1 species
GACGAACGCUGGCGGCGUGCCUAAUACAUGCAAGUCGAACGCAGUGGGGACGGGUGAGUAACACGUGGGUAACCUCCCAUCAGAGGGGAUAACACUUGGAAACAGGUGCUAAACCGAUACUGAUGGAUGGACCCGCGGUGCAUUAGCUAGUGGGGGGGGAAACGGCUCACCAAGGCCACGAUGCAUCGCCGACCUGAUGGGGGGAUCGGCAACACGGGGACUGAGAAACGGCCCAGACUCCUACGGGAGGAAGCAUGAGGGAAUCUUGGGCAAUGGACGAAAGGCUGACCGAGCAACGCCGCGGGAGUGAAGAAGGUUUUCGGAUCGUAAAACUCUGUUGUUAGAGAAGCGGUAUCUAACCAGAAAGCCACGGCUAACUACGUGCCAGCAGCCGCGGUAAUAC